ACCCCCAACCCCUUGCUCGGCCCCCUCUCCUCAUUUCCUAUCGGUCGAUGCCCUAGCUGCGAGCGCGCCGACUUCCCCGCUGCCGUCGACCUCUCCUUCUGAGCCCCGAUCGGCGAUUGAAGAUUCCGCUACUCCGCCGCCGUCGACCUUGCCGUCGUCUGAGCUGCGCGCCGACAUCUCACCUCCAUCCCGAGCGAGCCGUAGCUACUCCGCCGCCGUUGACAUCGCCGUCGUCUGAGAUUACAACAUGCCGCGAGGAAAACGUUUCAGAAAUAUUGAGUUUCAGCACACAUCCGUGGGAUCUACUUCUGAUCGUUCCCAGCAGCCCGAUGUGCCCCAUACUCAGUCCGGGUCCCAGUCUGAGCACGCCCCACCUGCAGAUCGUCCAGACACGGAUGACGUGGACGUCCUGGAUGGACUAGGGAGAGUGAGGAGAACACGAGGGCCCACUCGAGCACGAGACGUAUGGACCCUACCUGAGGAUGAGAAGAUUGUCGUCCAUUGCAACGAACUGGGGCAGCCCAUCAAGAAUGCAGCAAGCAUUUUAUCCACUUUUUUAGGAUCGGUUGCGCCGAAGGGACAAUUGUGUCCGCUCAACUUUACGAAAUGGAACAAAAUGCUUCCUUCGUAUAAGGUUGAGCUUCUUAGAGUUGUUGAGGUAAAGAAUUG